rnacentral:lncRNA from 1 species
UAUCUACUACUUGAUCAUGGUGGCAAGGUGGAAAUACUUUGAUGUGCUUUCACCAUCUAGUCAAAGUUGUCUAGUGCAAGAAGCACUUGAUUGAAUGACAUUUGGAUACGAUCAAAUCCUCUUCAAUAUUCAGCACUUGAUUGAAUGACAUUUGUUGCAACAAUUAACGAAUAAGGAUAGGGGUAGGACUUUUAUAUUAGAGGGGUUAGUUCUUGAAAAUCUUGAUUUCUUCUCUAGUCCUCAGCUUCUUUUCCCCCUUUCUUUUCAUUUACUUACAUUACAUUUUCUUGUCUCUUCUACCCUCAAGUGUAAUUCCAUGUUGCCUUGGUUAAGAAUUGUAUAUUUUGAGAUUGUUUCUGAACAUAUGAGAGAGAUAUUUGGGCUAACUUGGGAGAUGGAAGUGGUUAAGCAACAAACCCACUGUUUUUAAAAAUUGUGGUGUCUGGGCUAGCUCGCGCCACCUCAACUUAUUUAACGGGGUACCUACUAUCACCCACCAACUCAAGUACUAGGCAAUUCUGCCUACCAAGGCUUUGAUAAAUGGGAAAAAAUCACCUAGUAUUUGCCUCCGUUGGGAUUUGAACAUGAGACCUUAUGGUUCUCAACCCACUUAUUGACCGCUAGCCAACCCUUGACAUUGUCUUGGUGCACUGUAAUAGGAAUAAUUCUGAUUUGUUUUAAAAAGAUUGUAUUUCAUUAUAAUGCAUGUGGCUUUAUUUUUUAUGGUUAUGUUAUAAGUAAGGACUAUAAUGUCCUUGUUAAACAACUUGCACUCUAUAUCAAUAUCUCUGUAAUCUGGG